rnacentral:misc_RNA from 1 species
GAUGAAGAACGUAGCGAAAUGCGAUAAGUAGUGUGAAUUGCAGAAUUCAGUGAAUCAUCGAAUCUUUGAACGCACAUUGCGCCCGCUAGUAUUCUGGCGGGCAUGCCUGUUCGAGCGUCAUUUCAACCAUCAAGCCCUGUUUAGGCUUGUGUUGGGGCCCUGCGGCUGCCGCAGCCCCCUAAAUGCAGUGGCGGGCUCGUUGUCACUCCGAGCGCAGUAGCGUAUCUCGCUCUGGGCGUGGCGGCGGGUGCUAGCCGUGAAACACCCACUAAGGUUGACCUCGGAUCAGGUAGGAAUACCCGCUGAACUUAAGCAUAUCAAUAAGCGGAGGA